rnacentral:rRNA from 1 species
CGCCUCUUGACCACUAUAAGAGGUCUAGCCUGCCCAGUGACCAAUUUAACGGCCGCGGUACCCUAACCGUGCGAAGGUAGCAUAAUCACUUGUUUCCUAAAUAGAGACUAGCAUCAACGGCAUCACGAAGACUAUACUGUCUUCCCCCUAAAAUCAAUGAAACUAAUCCCCUCGUGAAGAAGCGAGGAUAAAAAUAUAAGACGAGAAGACCCCAUGGAGCUUUAAACGAACUUUAAUUGCUCUUAAUCUUACCAUAAAAAACGAGCACUAAUAAAAGAUAGUUUUCGGUUGGGGUGACCACGGAGUAAAACAAAACCUCCACAGUGAAUGUAAUAAUACUAAUACAAGAACUACAAUUCUAAUAAUCAAAAAAUUGACACACUUGACCCAAACACUUGAUCAAUGAACCAAGUUACCCUAGGGAUAACAGCGCAAUCCAUUUUAAGAGCCCCUAUCGACAAAUGGGUUUACGACCUCGAUGUUGGAUCAGGGUAUCCUAGUGGUGCAGCCGCUACUAAUGGUUCGUUUGUUCAACGAUUAAAACCCU